rnacentral:tRNA from 3 species
GCGCCGUUGGUCUAGUGGUUAUGAUUCCUGCCUUCCAAGCAUGAGAGACGUGUUCGAUUCACGUACGGCGCA